UUUUCCCUGCCAGUCAAAGGCCUUGAAGCAACGCAAACAAACGGGUUAAAUGCCAGCCAGGUUCCCGUACCUCCCCGCUCCCUGUGCACAGCGCUAGCCUGACAACACCACGGCCCCUAGCCGCGGGGCUGAACCGAAAGGAACCCGCACCCAACCGACCAACGGUUUGCAGAGGCACGAGCCACCCGGGGUUUCCCCCAACACGGGAAGCGAGUACGAGCCGGGACACCCCGCGACUCCGCUCCAACCGGAGCACGCACGGCCUCCCCCGGGCUCCGCACAGCCGGAGACCGAGGUGCGGGCGGGGAUGCCCCCGGGGAGCGGGAGGCAUAAUUCCAGCAGGACUUACUAAGCCAAGUGGUGUCAAGGAUGGUCUCCAAAGAGCCCGGCCACCUGCUAGUAGCCACCGGUGCUGUGUGGAUCACCUGCCCUGUUCAGGAGUUUGGCAGAAGCAAGAGAGUUGUCAUCUUGGAAGUCAAGGAGUGCCAGGAACAUUCCUUGGAGGGACCAUAGUGUUCAUAGUGGAAAGAUCAUAGUGUGUGCAAUCGGAUGAACCUGGGCUCCAUCCACCUUCUGCCGAAUUCUAAAUUAGUCCUAGCCCCAAGUGAGUGAAACCACGCAGGGCUGAAGAGUCUUGGGGUAUUAAGUCCUGCAGACUCAUUGUGUAUUGUUUUGGUGGCAGGACUUUUGUUUACACCCCCCACACACACAAGAAAAAUGAAAAUCUCCCAGGAUAAAAUAAAAAGGCAUAGCCAUGGAGAUACUUCUACAGCUUUUUAAGUGGCGCCCUUAGCAGUUCGUGGGAAUGCAUCUCUCAUUAGUCAUGUCAUUUGGGUUGAAUUUCGAGAUUUGGAUGGGGUAUUAUUUUCCUUGUUACUAAGAUUUCACCAACGAUAACAUAGCUUCUGUGUACCAAUCAUGCCUCUUCUUGAUAUAUGUUCUAGGAGAGUGAUAUGUAUGGAAUAAAAUCUCUCAAAAUCA